rnacentral:rRNA from 1 species
UGAGCAAUCUGCCCUUCUCUUCGGAAUAAGCGUUGGAAACGACGUCUAAUGCCGAAUACGACCUCCUUUCGCAUGAUCGGAGGUGGAAAGCUCCGGCGGAGAAGGAUGAGCUCGGCGGCCUAUCAGCUAGUUGGUGUGGGUAAUGGCCCACCAAGGCGACGACGGGUAGCCGGCCUGAGAGGGUGACCGGCCACACGUGGGACUGAGACACGGCCCAGACUCCGUACGGGGAGGNAG